AUGAAAGUGUUGAAGAGGACAGUAAGCUGUCCGGUCAUCUCAGAGAGGGAUCUGUAUGGUGUGAAGAUCCUGAUGUUCCGGCUGACUGAAUACCACCUCGGAGCGGCCUUAAUACGGCACGGUGAUUCCGUUAUCAUCACAUGAAUUAAGAUGGUUUUCUGACGAAGACAAACAGGGUGGAACCGCGGGAGUUUUCCCGUCCCUGUG
rnacentral:ncRNA from 1 species